rnacentral:rRNA from 1 species
GUUGCUGGAGGUAUCAGAAGUGCGAAUGCUGACAUAAGUAACGAUAAAGCGGGUGAAAAGCCCGCUCGCCGGAAGACCAAGGGUUCCUGUCCAACGUUAAUCGGGGCAGGGUGAGUCGACCCCUAAGGCGAGGCCGAAAGGCGUAGUCGAUGGGAAACAGGUUAAUAUUCCUGUACUUGGUGUUACUGCGAAGGGGGGACGGAGAAGGCUAUGUUGGCCGGGCGACGGUUGUCCCGGUUUAAGCGUGUAGGCUGGUUUUCCAGGCAAAUCCGGAAAAUCAAGGCUGAGGCGUGAUGACGAGGCACUACGGUGCUGAAGCGACAAAUGCCCUGCUUCCAGGAAAAGCCUCUAAGCAUCAGGUAACAUCAAAUCGUACCCCAAACCGACACAGGUGGUCAGGUAGAGAAUACCAAGGCGCUUGAGAGAACUCGGGUGAAGGAACUAGGCAAAAUGGUGCCGUAACUUCGGGAGAAGGCACGCUGAUAUGUAGGUGAAGCGACUUGCUCGUGGAGCUGAAAUCAGUCGAAGAUACCAGCUGGCUGCAACUGUUUAUUAAAAACACAGCACUGUGCAAACACGAAAGUGGACGUAUACGGUGUGACGCCUGCCCGGUGCCGGAAGGUUAAUUGAUGGGGUUAGCGGUAACGCGAAGCUCUUGAUCGAAGCCCCGGUAAACGGCGGCCGUAACUAUAACGGUCCUAAGGUAGCGAAAUUCCUUGUCGGGUAAGUUCCGACCUGCACGAAUGGCGUAAUGAUGGCCAGGCUGUCUCCACCCGAGACUCAGUGAAAUUGAACUCGCUGUGAAGAUGCAGUGUACCCGCGGCAAGACGGAAAGACCCCGUGAACCUUUACUAUAGCUUGACACUGAACAUUGAGCCUUGAUGUGUAGGAUAGGUGGGAGGCUUUGAAGUGUGGACGCCAGUCUGCAUGGAGCCGACCUUGAAAUACCACCCUUUAAUGUUUGAUGUUCUAACGUGGGCCCCUUACCGGGGUUGCGGACAGUGUCUGGUGGGUAGUUUGACUGGGGCGGUCUCCUCCUAAAGAGUAACGGAGGAGCACGAAGGUUGGCUAAUCCUGGUCGGACAUCAGGAGGUUAGUGCAAUGGCAUAAGCCAGCUUGACUGCGAGCGUGACGGCGCGAGCAGGUGCGAAAGCAGGUCAUAGUGAUCCGGUGGUUCUGAAUGGAAGGGCCAUCGCUCAACGGAUAAAAGGUACUCCGGGGAUAACAGGCUGAUACCGCCCAAGAGUUCAUAUCGACGGCGGUGUUUGGCACCUCGAUGUCGGCUCAUCACAUCCUGGGGCUGAAGUAGGUCCCAAGGGUAUGGCUGUUCGCCAUUUAAAGUGGUACGCGAGCUGGGUUUAGAACGUCGUGAGACAGUUCGGUCCCUAUCUGCCGUGGGCGCUGGAGAACUGAGGGGGGCUGCUCCUAGUACGAGAGGACCGGAGUGGACGCAUCACUGGUGUUCGGGUUGUCAUGCCAAUGGCACUGCCCGGUAGCUAAAUGCGGAAGAGAUAAGUGCUGAAAGCAUCUAAGCACGAAACUUGCCCCGAGAUGAGUUCUCCCUGACUCCUUGAGAGUCCUGAAGGAACGUUGAAGACGACGACGUUGAUAGGCCGGGUGUGUAAGCGCAGCGAUGCGUUGAGCUAACCGGUACUAAUGAACCGUGAGGCUUAACCUUACAACGCCGAAG